CUAGAUCUGACAUCUCGGCUGGAAGUAUCCAUGUCCUGAGAUAAACCCCCCUUCCCCACAGCAAGAUCUGGAUCUCACCUCUCUGCGGGAAGUACCCAUGUCCUGAGGUUAUUUUGUUUGUAACUGCAAAUGGAACACCAUGAUAUUACCCCGCAAAGUGACCUGGAGGGUAUUCUGUUUGAUGAAAGCGCAGAACCAAAGGCUUUACCAUUAUCACUUCUGGAGCACAUCACCAGCGGUUUCUCUCGUGGUGAAGAAAUUGGCAAUGGUGGUUUUGCAACGGUUUAUAAGGGAAUGCUUGACAAUGGCAUGGUUGCUGUGAAGAAGCUUUUUGGAACGGUUGAUCUUGAUGAGAAGAAAUUCAGUGAAGAGAUACGUUGUCUGAUGAAGGCAAAGCACAAAAAUAUUGUGCGGUUCCUAGGAUAUUGCGCUGACACACAAGGAGAAAUGGUAGAUUGCGGGGGAAAGCUUGUCUUGGCAGAUGUACGACAAA